UGGGGAAUUUUGGACAAUUGGGCGAAAGCCUGAUCCAGCAAUGCCGCGUGUGUGAAGAAGGCCUUCGGGUUGUAAAGCACUUUUGUCCGGAAAGAAAUCCUUGGCUCUAAUACAGUCGGGGGAUGACGGUACCGGAAGAAUAAGCACCGGCUAACUACGUGCCAGCAGCCGCGGUAAUACGUAGGGUGCAAGCGUUAAUCGGAAUUACUGGGCGUAAAGCGUGCGCAGGCGGUUUGCUAAGACCGAUGUGAAAUCCCCGGGCUCAACCUGGGAACUGCAUUGGUGACUGGCAGGCUAGAGUAUGGCAGAGGGGGGUAGAAUUCCACGUGUAGCAGUGAAAUGCGUAGAGAUGUGGAGGAAUACCGAUGGCGAAGGCAGCCCCCUGGGCAAGUACUGACGCUCAUGCACGAAAAGCGUGGGGAGCAAACNGGAUUAAUACCCUGGUAGUCCACGCCCUAAAANGAUGUCAACUAGUUGUUGGGGAUUCAUUUUCCUUAGUAACGUAGCUAACGCGUGAAGUUGACCGCCU
rnacentral:rRNA from 1 species